GAUGAACGCUGGCGGCGUGUCUAAGGCAUGCAAGUCGAACGGACUGUUAUUUGUAGCAAUACUUAGAACAGUUAGUGGCAAACGGGUGCGUAACACAUUGGUAACCUGCCUCAAAGUCGGGCAUAAUCCCGCGAAAGUGGGACUAAUUCCACGAUGGUCAUCGAAGGUGAGAUUCCUUCGAUGUAAAGUCGCAAGACGCUUUGAGAGGGGCCUAUGGCCUAUCAGCUUGUUGGUGAGGUAACGGCUCACCAAGGCUAUGACGGGUAGGGGGUGUGAGAGCACGACCCCCCUCACUGGGACUGAGACACUGCCCAGACACCUACGGGUGGCUGCAGUCGAGAAUAUUCCCCAAUGGCCGAAAGGCUGAGGGAGCGACGCCGCGUGCAGGAAUAAGGCC
rnacentral:rRNA from 1 species